UCUUGACCACCCUAUCUACAGAGGACCCAGCAAAAAGGUACCUUCUAUGAACCAGAAGACCAGCCCUCACCAGAUGCUGAAUCUUCUUUGAUCUUGGACUUCUCAGCCUCUGGAACUGUUGGUGCCUUUGAUACCCUGUUGUGGGGUGAAUUCACUUGCACUUCAGUGAGCAAGUCUAGAACCAUCUUCUUCCAAGUCUCAGCCCACGCCCCUUGCAGCUUUCCUUGUCUGUCAGUGUUCAGAUCACACAUUUGGCUCAGUCUCUCAGCUGUGGGGUAAUCAAACCCACCACACUACCUCGUGGAAUUUCCAGGAAGAUAAAAUCAGAAACGCCAUGGGACAGAAGACAAACUGAGGCUUGGUCACCUGGAGGAUCAGCAGCUGGAUUGUUUCCUGUAACAAAGUUCCCGCUAGAGAGUCCCUGAUCUCUGUGAUGCAGUAUUUCCCUAGUUUUUAUUUCUACUUCAAUGAGGCAUCUCAGUGUCAGUUUCCUUUGGGAAAAGAAAAUCACAUGUCCCCACAGCUUUGUGCCCAAUUGUGAAGGACAAUUCAGCGUUGAUUGUCUGUCUGGACUCUCGUGGGGUGGAGGCCAGUGGGGCUAGUACGAUGCUUAGCACACCUGGGCUGUCUAGCCUUAAGGAAACCAGAUCUGCCAGGGAGGCAGGAAAGCAAUGCAGAGAUUUUCUUCUGCCUUCCUCGGGGGACGGUCUUCCGGAGCAACAACGCACCAUGUAGCUACAGAAAACUUAUUACGUUCCAGGUGCUGGGAGCAGCUAGUUGCAGAUACUUAGAGCGGUAAGAUUUUAAGUUAGACAUAAGGAAGGACUUCCAGCUAUUGGUAUUGAUAUAGUAGGACCCAAGCUUUCUUCACAGCUUGCAGCGUCAGGGAAGGAUGAGAUCAUUCUUAAGAACAUUUUGAAUAAAGGCUUAGAGGGACUGAAUAGUUAAUGAUUC
rnacentral:lncRNA from 13 species